UAUCUGAUAAGUACUUAGCCAUAAGUAUAUAAGUAUCUGAUUGGGCCAUUACUUAGAUUAUAAGGUUUUAAAUUGGCAUUUUCAAUAUUCUAGUGGGCCAAUGAAAUCUCCAGUCAACUACGCUCAAUUCAUUCAGAUGAAGUUGACAAACGUGAGAACUUCCUGACCCUAUUUGAAGGACAUUCAUUAAAGGACCUCUUUCCUGGACUAGAAGAUGUAACUUCUCCCUUUGCAACCCGUUGACACCAAACUACCCAAGGUUUUAAAUUGGCAUUUACAAUAUUCCAACGGGCCAAUGAAAUCACCAUCCAACAACGCUCAGUUUAUACAGAAGAAAUGGUCAGACGCCAGAAUUUCUAGACCCUAUUGGAAGGACAUAUAUUAAAGGACCUCUUCCCUGGAGUAGAAGAUGUCCCUUCUUCCUUUGUAACCCAGGCUACAGAGCCGUUUGACAGAAACUACCCAAGUGCUGAAGAAUGAGAGCGGAAGAAAUGAAGUGGAAAAAAAUGACACUCCAACUAUGAGUUUAAGCGACUCACAUAUUUCCUGGCUUCAACUCUUGAGGAAACUAAUGCAAGCAACACAUCAGUAGCCUAUAUGAGCUUGAAAGAAGUUUAAUGGAAAACAAGCCAAAAGACGAAGAAGAAAGUUUAAUCACUGCUGCAAAAAUAGGAGCAGCACUAUUAGAAGAAAACAAAAUAAUAAAAGAAAAAAUUUACAAAUAUAA